rnacentral:rRNA from 1 species
UACGGAGGGUGCAAGCGUUAAUCGGAAUUACUGGGCGUAAAGCGUGCGUAGGUGGUUCGUUAAGUCCGUUGUGAAAGCCCCGAGCUCAACUUGGGAAUUGCAGUGGAUACUGGCGAGCUGGAGUGCGGUAGAGGAAGGUGGAAUUCCCGGUGUAGCGGUGAAAUGCGUAGAUAUCAAGUGGAACACCAGUGGCGAAGGCGAGUCUCUGGACAUUUCCUGACGCUGAGGCACGAAAGCCAGGGGAGCAAACGGG